GAACCAAAAGAGGUCACUACACACACGCCACUCUGGCACUCUCUGUGUCCGUCGGUAGUGAAACGAAAGAGGCGGCGGGCGGACGAGAUGACGUGCGGCGGCGAAGGAGACGUCGUACGGCGUAGGAGAGGGCCGUGCUACAGCGGGCCGCGGGGGAGGAGGAGGGGGCGGGGGGGGUUGGGUGUGGUGGUGGUGCCGGAGCUGGGAAGAGCAGGAUAGGGGUGCUGCCGGAGCGGGGCGGCCGGGAGUAGGGGUGCUGCCGGAGUGGGGCGGCCGAGGACAGUGGUGGUGCCGGAACGGAGCGGCGGUUGAGGCAGUUAGAAGGGAUCUAGCUGAGACGACGGCGGUAGGAUGACGGGGUCUCGUCUAGCUCUACGCUCGACGACCUGUGCUACCCCCUCCUCCGUAGAGCUUGACCUGCCUCUAGGUCCCGCAACUGCACGGGCGGCAUUAGUAGCGGGGGGCACGAACCGAGUGUGUCAGCGAGGCCCUUCCUCAAGCGUCGAGUGCAUGCACGAGCCAACGACUUCCGCGGAAGCGGUGCAACAGUAAGUAAACACUCUACAAAGAGAAAGAGAUACAACCGUACCUACUAUAUAUCUCAUGACCUUCUAACAAUCACUUUGUGUAAGUCGGGUUACUUCACAUAGCGGAAACUCGAGGUAAUAAAUCCGGUCUAGAGUACUCUCUACGACACAGUUAACGUAACCGUAAGUUAUUCCUAACUUCACCACCAGCAUUGUGUCAGUCAACCCUCCUGGGUUACCGUCUCAGCUACAACCGUCUCAGCUAUAAUAACUGUAAAAGGAACAAUCUUUGUCGUCAUAUACCACAAGGAUUACUUAAGUCUGGUCCUUCACCUCAGGCUAGUGAGUAAUACUGUAGUUGUCCAGAGCUCUACGGCACCCCGGUGUGUCCCACUACUGUGGCCUCCAUCCCGUCGCGCGGUCCAACUCCUGCAGGUGGCCCAGCUCCUGCAGCGCCUGUCCCGCUCCCGCCGCACCGCUCCUCUCCAUGCUGUCGUUCCGCCCACCUCCUGCAGCGCCUGUGGUCCUCGGUCCUCUCCAUUCCGUCGUUCCGCCCAGCUCCUACAGCGCCUGUGGUCUCCGCGCCGCCCCGCCGACCGCCUCCGCUCCAAACACCGCACUACGGCCGCAACUAGCACCUCCAAGGACCACACCGCCGCCGAAACUAGCGCCUCAGGUGCAAUUAAGGGAACUCCACAGUAGCAACCCCCGACACAUCGUAGGACUUGAACCUCAGACGGCCGUCUUGUAAACAAAAGUCGGCAUCUAGACUGACAUCAUAUUACCUACAUAGCACCUGACAACCUACGUUGAAUUACCUAGACUAGCCUGCACGCCCCAAUAGGACACACGUGAAAAACCCCACGUGCAUCCCCUUCAGUACAAACCAGAAAAUU
rnacentral:rRNA from 1 species